rnacentral:lncRNA from 1 species
ACUUGGAAAAAACAUACAUCAUAUUGCAAUAUAAUUUACUUUGAGAUUUCAAUUUGGAAAAUGGCAUGGAAAUAAUCCAGCUUGAACAUCGUCCUCCUCACCUCCUGGACUAGGGCGAGGGCCCCUUAUAUUUCUUCAUGGCAAUUGUGUCACAGUUCAAACGCUCGUACCCUGACUCCAUCUGGGAUUUGGAAUGCACUCAGGGAAGUGGCUGUGCAUGGAGACUAGAAAUGGAAGAGGCUUCCAAGGUCAUGCCUUUCAGGCUCCCUUCAAAUUCUACAGCUACUGUGAAGAGAGUUGCAUUCCCACAGAGAACAUGUCAGACUGGAGGAAAAUUGUGACAAAAGGUCUCCCCAAAGGAAUACCAAGGCCUCUUGCAUUGAGGAAGGGUUACAUGACUGGUUCUGACAAGCAAAAUGGAAGCAGAUGUGGUGUGCACCACUUCCAGACCCCAAAUCAUUUUACAUAUUCCUUUAUCAAUUCUUGCUUCCCCUGCUGUCUGCUGGCUGGAUAGUGCCAGGGUGAACUUGAAGCCACAGUAUGGUAGAGCCACAAGAUGGAAAGAACCUGGGUCCCUGAGCUUCUGCUUAGAGAGGAACCACUCAAGAGAAUUAUCUGAACAGAAACAUCUGAAAUGAACAGGGUCAGUGAGAAAGAUAAGACUCUUAUUACAUAAAAGCAUUGAGAUUUGAAGGCUAUUUAUUCUUGUAGUAACCCUAUCCCAACUAACAACAGAAAAUUAUACAAAUAGUAAAAGAAUUCAAGAUAACAUAUUUUAAGUGUCAAACCAAUGGAAUAUAAUUUUUGAAUUUGCCUAAUAUUUUACUGUUCUCCCAAAUCAUUUGCUUCCCUACCUUAUUCAAUUCUCUAAGAAACCUUGAUGAGUCUAUCUUUGUGUCACAAUUUAAGAAACUGGACUUAGAGUUGUUACAUUCUUUGACCUAAGCUAGAACCAAAAUUUUCUGACUCCAAAUACUGUACUCUUUGCCUUUAGGCAUAACUACUAUAAGAGUGACUAAUGACUAAAUUAUUUAUAGAAAAGAUGUUUUGCCUAAAUUGUCUAGGGAGUAAUUUUUUGAACACUGGUUCCACCAGCAGCUAAUAAAUGUCCCAAGAAAUAGAGUUCCAAGGCCAAAUGAGUUUGGGAAACACUGGGUUAAACAAAUGUGACCAGGAGUCUUCUACUUACUGCCAAGCUCUCAGAGCCUUUAACUUACAAUUUGGAGGCUCAUAGGGAGCCUAUGCAGCAUAUCCCAUACACCUGACCACAGAAUUCUUUGAUGAUAGAGCCAUCGUCAGGAGCAGAGUGUGCUGAAACAUGCCUGAGAAAGGUUUUCUAGAUAACAGCUCUCGUUCUCCACUGCACCCUGGUUCCACUUUAGUCUAUUCACUUCUUAGAGUACAUUUCUCAGCUAAUGUUGGGAACAACAAAAUUCUCUAGUAAGCUCAUGUAACCAAGAUCAAAUGGGACUUCCAGGAGAUUUUUUUUGUUUGUUUAGACGGAGUCUGAGCCCUGUCACCCAGGCUGGAGUGCAGUGGCACGAUCUUGGCUCACUGCAACCUCUGCCUCCCGGGUUCAAGCCAUUCUCCUGCCUCAGCCUCCCGAGUAGCUGGGAUUACAGACAUGUGCCACCAUACUCAGCUAAUUUUUUGUAUUUUUAGGAGAGAUGAGGUUUCACCAUGUUGGCCAGGAUAGUCUCGAUCUCUUGACUUCAUGAUCUGCCCACUUCGGCCUCCCAAAGUGCUAGGAUUACAGGCGUGAGCCACCACGCCUGGCCCCAGGAGAUUUUUUUUCAAUUGCAUUUAUUUUUGAACCUAUCCCAAGUAAGAGCAGGACACAUUCAUUGCACCUGGAAGGUAGAAAAUAUAAAUAGAAGAAAGAGAGGUGCAAAUCAACCCACUUCUAUUCAACCCACCAGCAUAGUCAACCUGUGACAUUUACUACCAUGGGGAGCUGCUGAGGCAGGGUAGAGUUGGAUUUGAGGAAGGAUUAGAUAAUUUUAUGAGCAUGACUAACAUUUAAAGCUAUGUGAGCUAAAACAAAAAAGAUACGAGGAAAUGAAGUCUCAUGUUCCAGGAUGUAAAUUGAUCACAUGUGGAAGGAGGGGCAAAAGGAAUUCCCACCUCGCAAUCCAGCGUGGGAUAUUACAGAAUGAGCCAGUUGCAAUAGGCUUGACUUUCCCUCUUUAUUUUCCUUUUCCUUUUCUCUGGUACAUCUGAUUCUGGCUAAACAGUAGGUGGGGAUAUUAGCCCUGACAAAUAGCGAUUUGAUCCCACAGGGCAACUCCUAUUGAAAACCAAGAUAACACAAAUAUUUUCAAUUCUUCAAGUUGAACCUAGACUAAGUAUUUUGUUUUGCGGGUGAUCCCUCUGUUCUUUUAUUAAGAGAAGAUCAUUUUAUGAGAACUAAGAAUAUUUGCAUUCCUAGCAUUUAAAAUUCUCAACAAACACAUUGCUCAAGCAAAUAAAAAGAAUAGAACCAAGUAAGGUAAGAUCUUCUUAAUUAGUUGAGACUUUUGAGCAAGGAUGAAUCCAGUCUUGAAGUACUGGCAAUUUCAAAAUACUCAUUUUACCUUAAACGUACAAAUAAAAUGUGUUUCUGAGCUGCAGUAUUCUGAGCUUGGUGAUGAUUGAAGGCCCUGGAAGAGGGGAUGGCAGAUUUUAUUGGGCUGGAUGGGUUCUCACCCGCCAUCUCCCCAUGGGAAAUUUUGUAAAAAUAUUCAACUCUAAUGGUUCAGUGAAAAGCAUUUGGGCCUCAGGGAAUCAACGGGAGCUAAGUUUUAUAGAGUGAAUCCCAUCUGGGACUAGAAGAAUUAAGAAACAGAACUAUGGGAGACAGGCAACAAGAGGAAUAGCAAUAUCAGCCCCAUGGUACAAAAAGUUAGUCUUUCAUUGUAUAAGCAGUGCUAUGAUUUCCUGCAUUAAGAUUACAAAAGCAAUCAGAUCAGAGAUUGUGGACUUUUUUCAUUAUAGGAUUUGAGUUGACCCUUUCUUCAACUAUGAAUUCUUUGGUUGGGGAACAGCCCUGAUUUCCAAUAUGAACCCUAAAUAUCAUUUGCUUCAGGAAGGAUUUUUCCUGUUGGUUCUUAGCAAUGUUUCUGAACUUGUGGCAAUGGUUGUCUAUACAAAAUUGACUACUCCAUUCUCUUAUCCCUUCCUCCCUAGCAUAGACCACUUCUCAUUAUAAAACUUUUUUUUUUUUUUUUUUGAGAUGAACUCUUGCUCUGUUGCCCAGGCUGAAGUGCUGUGGCACAAUCUCGGCUCACUGCAACCACAGCCUCCCGGGUUCAAGUGAUUCUCCCACCUCAGUCUCUCAAGUAGCUAGGAUUACAGGUGCGUGUCACCCAUGACCAGAUAAUUUUUGUAUUUUUAGGAGACAUGGGUUUUGCCAUGUUGGCCAGGCUGGUCUCAAACUCCAGACCUCAAGUGAUUCUCCCGCCUCAGCCUCCCAAAGUGCCGGAAUUACAGGCAUGUACCACUGCACCCGGCCUAUAAAACUUAAAAUUCCAAACAGGCAUCUAGUUUUGCAGCCUUAUCUUGCACCUAGAAUUGACUAUGUGACUCAGUUGUGGCCACUUCUGGCUUGGAGGAUGCUAGGAAAUAUUUUCCUUUUUGGAUAAAAGGAGAGAAAUAUGGGAGGAGAGUUGUGUUUUCUGUUUGUUUGUUUGUUUGCUUGCUUGCUUGUUUGUUUUUCUGGCUAUCCCUUCUCUCUCCUUGACAUAGUGGGGAAAGAAUGUGGCAUUUCAUACUGUGGCAAUUAUUUUGUGACCAUGAGAUGACAAACUUGAGGAUCAAAGGCACCAUGGUAUCAUUGACAAGAUGGAAGGGGAGAAAAAUCUUGAGUUCAUAAUGACAUCCCUGAGCCACUACAACAACCCUGAGACCAUGAGCCUGUUGAUUUCUUGAAGCCACUUUUAGAUGGAUAUUCUGUUACAGCCCAAAGCCUUCUAACUAUUAAAUACACCCAGUGAAAAUGUGGCUAUGUGUUCCAAUAGAGCACAGAACCCCAAAGAAACACACGGCCUGUGACUUCUGGUCAUAUCGAAUCACUGAUAUUCCCUGAUGUACACUGGCAUAUUUCUCUUGGAAAAAAUAGCGAACCAGGGCUUCCUUGAUGGUUGUCUGAGAAUUCAUUGGCUAAUACUGGCAGAGCCUAAGGCCAUGAACAUGCUCAUCAUUACUAAGGAGGCAGCAAUCCUGGAGGUUGCAAUUCAACAUGAGAAAGAAAAGGAGGAUUUUGCUCCAAAUUCCACACAAGGUUUCCUUCCCUCUUUUUCUCAUUUCCCACAAUCUUACCCUUUUCUUUGUGUCUUAUUUUGGCUUCAGAAAACCUCUUUACCUUUUCAUUUUCCAAUUCUGAUGUUACUUAAUUCUUCAAUAUGGUAAAGCAAUAAAAAGAAAGCUGGCUGAUAAUCUGAGAGCAGUGCCAAAAAUGUAUGUUUGGAAUGUUAGGACUUUAUCGAAAAAUACGACUUUAUUGAAUAAGCAGAAAUUUUGUUAAGCUCCAAAGGAAUCUAACCAUCUCCCCUCCCCCACCAUCACUGCCUAAAUUUCACAUCCUCUGAUAACUUAAGUGCCUUCCCAGACUGGCAUAUCUUCUAGUCUGCAUAUCCUAAACUACAAAUCCAAUACUAUCGAGUGACUGGAAAUGGUACAACUCAAAAGGCUAGGAAAAAUCCUGCUCUAUGGAAACACAUUCAUUUUUAAAAUUUCUUUAUUUCAAACGUUUCCAUCCUAAUUUCCCUUCUUGAAGAAUUUUCAUUAUACAUGAGCAGGGAAUUAUGAUGUGUGUCAUAUUUUAUAACUUAGCUAAUUUGAAGAUACUUUUUUCUUUUACAUCUGUUAGAUUUUUAAAAAAAAAAAAGUGUAUUAUACUUUAAGUUCUGGGAUACAUGUGCAGAAUGUGCAAGUUUGUUACACAGGUAUAUGUGCCAUGGUGGUUUGCUGUGCCCUUCAACCCGACCAUCCUGAGCUCAAAGCCCAGAAUCAGAGCUGAUGAGUAACCAAGGAAUUCAGAUUUUAGUACUGAAAAUAAUGUAUAGGAAAUUCCAUUGUUCUGGAGGACAAGAAUUUAGCAUUCAUAGCUGAAAUGUGUAAGAGGAAAAAAAUUGCCAGAAAAAUGCUGUUUGCAAUGCUGUGAGGGUCUGCUCUAAAUGGUGUUUCUUGUGGGAGGGACUUGGUGUGACGCGGUGUUGUGUGUUUUGGUUUUUGGUUUUCAUCUGGAGGCUUUUUUGCUUUUGUUUCUCAGAUCGAGGAAAGGAGGUUUGCCUGAAAAGGAGCCAGAGUGGUUCCGCCCAGACUGACGUGCUUCUGGCAGCCGGUGUGUACUGCUUGGUGACUGCUCUUUCAUUUCAGGUGGUGAUUUACCAAAUGCCGCUUUUUUUCUGUAUGACACAGGCGUGGCCAAACAUAGUCACCACUCAGAAUGUUGGGGAAGUUUCUCGUCCCCAUCAAACAGAGGGAGCAACCCUUGGUGGUUCAACAAUGAAGCCUCCAUUAGCUGAGAAGUCUAACUGUGAUUUAUCAUUCCCUACCUAUAAAGAUUGUAAACAAAUCAGGAAGCUUUCUGAGUCUCUUAGUCCUCUACUUCCAGGUAGAAGUGGUAAGAAUGUCAACCUUCCCUCACAACAUUGUAAGAAGGAAUGAUUAUUUGAAUUGAUUAUAAAAAGAUGCUCUGCAUUAUUCAUCAUUAGGGAAUUGCAAAUUAAAACAACAAGGAGAUAACGGCUACAUACCUAUUAGGACGGCUAAUAUCCAAAACGCUGACAGUACCAAAUGGUAGAGCAACAGGAACCCUCCUUCAUUGCUGGUGAAAAUGUAAAAUGGUUCGACCACUGUGGAAAACAGUUUGGCAGUUUUUUACAAAUCUAAACACACUUUUAUCAUAUCAUUCUGCAAUCAUGCUCCUUGAUAUUCUCCCAAAUGAGUUGAAAACUUAGGUCCACCCAGAAACCUCUGCACAAAAGUUUAUAGCAGCUUUAUUCAUAAUUGCCAAAACUUAGAAGCCACCAAGGUGUCCGUCAAUAGGUGAAUGGAUAAAUAAACUGUAGUAUAUUCAUACAGUGGAAUAGUAUUGAGCACUUAAAAAAGAAAAAGAGCUAUUAAGCCACAAAAAAGAAACGGAGGAAGCAUAAAGGCAUAUUACUAAGUGCAAGAAGCCAAUCUGAAAAGGCUACAGACUGUAUGAUUCCAACUAUAAGACAUUCUGGGGAGGUAAAAUUAUGCAGACAGUAAAGGAUCAGUGUUUGCCAGGGUUUUGGGAAGAUGGAAGGAGGAAUUAAUAGAUGGAACACGGGAUUUUUAAGCCAAUGGAACUAUAUUGAAUGACACUGAAAGGGUAGCUACAUGGCAUGAUAGAUCUGUCAAAGCCCACAGACUGUACAACACAAACAGUGAACCAUAUGUAAACUGUGGGCUUUGGUCACAAAGAGCGAACUGUAAUGUAAACUGUGGACUUUGGUUGAACAUGAGGCAUCAAUAUUACUUCAUCAGUUGUAACAAAACAUACUGUGACAUGUUGGUGGUGGAAGGGGCUGGGUGUGUGUUGGGGGAUGGUUAUGUGGAAACUGUACUUUCUGCUCAAUUUUAUUGUGAGCCUAAAACUUGUAAAAAAUGAAACUUAUUAAUUAAAACUAAAUCGAUUUUAAAAUCUAGAUAAAAGUUAUUAUGAAGCAGAAAGUGAAUAUAAUCAUAUAAUUAUAUAAAUUAAUAAAAAUAAUUGUUGAAUGCAUGCUUUAGGAUUAAGUUCAGUUGUACACAACACAGAAAACAACAACAAGUGUGGUUUAGACAAGAUAGAAGAAUAUGUUUCUCAUGUAUGCAAAAUAAGCCUAGAAGUAGGCAGUCCGGAGUUGGAAUGGUGACUCCACAGAGACUUUGGGGACCAAGGCUUCUGGCUUUGCUGAGACUCCCAUCUCAGCAUCUUACUCCCAUCUCUUGGUCUGAUAUAAUUGCCAGAACUCCAGCCAUUACAUCUGCAUUCUAAACAGCAGAGAGCGAGGAAGGAGGAAAUACUGGCAUGCCUCCUCCCUUAAAUGCAGACUUACAGGAAGUUUCAUAUUAUAGUUCUGCUUUUAUCUUAUUGGUCAAGAACUUAGACAAAUUGGCACAUCUACCUGUGAAGGAGUCUCACAAUUUUUUACCUGUUGAAUGUACACAAAAUUUAAAAAAUCUGCAGAGAGGUCCAGCUAAAAAUCAGGGCUCUGUUUCUAAAUAAAAAGAAAGAAAGGGAUGUUGGAGUAGGCAGCUAGCCAUCUGAGACUUUGAGCAACUGUUGCUAAGUUAAAAAUACAGUGCUAGAGGCAGAGGAUGAAAAACACAUUAGAUCAAUAGGAGAAAUAAACAUGCAAGCACGCGGCUAUUAUAUAUGGUGGCAAUUUGUUAAUGGCACAAGGAUUUCAAAAGAGGAUGUGCGUAUGCCCAGUUGGGAUUGAUCAGAGAAGCCCUCCUAGAGGGAAGGAUAUUUUACAAAGACCUAGAAGGAUGGAGAGAAUUUGAAUGGUAGGAAGUGGUGGAAAAAAAGGCAAACUUGGCAUAGGAAAUGGCAUGAGAGAAAGCAAGUUGUUAUUUGAUAAAGAGGGAUAUGCCUGUUAUUGGUGCAUUUUAUAGUCUGCACAGAUACAGAAAGUGCCUAGGCAGGAAGAAGUUUAUGUCUGUAGUUUGGACAUCUACCCCAAUGACAUCAGUUUCUCUAUUCACAAUCUGUCCAUCAUUCCCAUGGGGUGGGAGGUGAGGAAGAAUUCCAUUCAACAACACACACUUAGAGUAUCUCAGGCAAAGAGACUUUUUUUCUUUUGUAUUUAUGAUAAAACACCCAAAUAUGUAUCCAAGUGGGAUUACCAGCCUGGGUUGGAUCCAAGAGACUUUGGUUACUAGAACUAUUUCUCAUCAUAAAUCCCCAAACAAGUUGAGUUUUUCACUUCCUCUCCUAAUCUGCCAUGGAGCACAGCCGAGUUGCUUGAAGUCAUCUACUUCUUGGCAGUGGCUACAAUUCCAAGAUGAUGGAACGAUUCUUUUCCAUAUACAUCAUUAUUAUUUCUAGUAUAAAUAUUUAUCAAGCACUCACUGUGCAAUAGAGAAGAGCUCCUGCUUGGUGGUCUUUCCAGCUGAACAAAACAAACAUGAGUAGAGGUUGAGGGAAGAGGUGGGAAGAGAACCUCAGCUGGUGGGAAACAAUAGGAAUUGCUUCCCCACCCCACCUCCUUUUAUUCAUGUUGGAUGUUGUUUGGACUUGACUGCCAUAUUUCAGAUACGUAAAAUGUGUUUUUAUUUGUUUAACAUAUGCUUUAUAGGGCUUACCAUGUGCUGUGCACUGUUCUAAGCUCUUUACAAAUAUUAACACAUUCAAUCCUCAUAGAAUCCUGUGAAAUAAGUCAUUUUAUUAUCCCUAUUUGCAGAUGAGGAAACUGAGGCACACAGUAAUUUGCCCAAGGUCGCUAACUGGGCACAGUGACUCUAGAGCAACACUGUUCAGUAGAACUUUCCCUGAUGUCAGAAGUGUUCCAUAUUUGCGCUGCCCAAUAGGGUAACCACUGGAUACGUGUAGCUGUUGAGCACUUGAAAUGUGGCUUGUAUGACUGAGGAAGUGAACUUCUGAAAGUUCAGAAGGCCACCCACCUCACCCUCCCAAAGUGCUGAGAUUACAGGCAUGAGCCACCACACCCAGGCCGCCUUUCUUUCCUUUCCUCUCCCUUCCUCCCUCCCUCCCUUUUUUCUUUCUUUCUUUCUUGCUUGCCUGCCUGCCUUCCUUCCUUCCUUCCUUCCUUUUCUUUCUCUCUCUUUCUUUCCAUCCCUCCCUCCUCUCUCUCUCUUUCUUUCUUUCCUUUUCUUUUCCUUUCUUUUCUUUUCUUUUUCCUUCCUUCCUUCCCUUUUCUCCUUCCUUCCUUCUCUUCUCUUCUCUUUUCUUUCUCUUUCUUUUUUUGAAGGAGCAAGAGCCAAGAAUAUAGAGAUUCUUUUGUAAAACAGUGAUCCUUCCUGGUGCAUUUGCUGUUUAAUUAUGAUAAACAACAUGAGAUAUAAGUUUAUAGAAAAAUAUGAGCAAGUCACUCAGGUGGUGCCAUUCUCUAUUCCCUGGCUAUUAAAUAGGACUACAAAAAAGCUCUAUCUCCAAUGCAAGUUUUCUCACAAUUGGUAGCAGAUGAGGAGGUCAAAGAGGAGAAAUCAACGGCUGGUUAGGUCAUGCACAUUUGGUAGCACAGACCAUUGUUAAAAGCAAAAAGCAACAUUAUAGUAUCUGGUGCCUGCUUGGGAAAAUGAAGAGCAGGACAAGGUCAUGUGUGUUAUCUUGCUGUCAUCAAGACUACUACUCCCUCUUUUCUCUCUUUCCCUCCCAUCUUAAUGCUUCUCUACUUUACUCAGCUUUCAUGGUUAAACUCAAAUUCCACUUCUUCCUUGAAAGCUGCCCUCCUGUCUCCAUGUGAAAGCAUCCUCCCUACAAUAUGACUGUAUGUUUCUUCUGGUACUCAAUGGGUUCUAUACUAUAUAAUAGCUAAGUAAGUACAAGUCCUAACUCUCCUACUUACUCUCAACUCUUAAAGGUCUGAUUUCUGUUUGUAUUAAUUUUCUGUAAAACUUCAUACAAACCUGGGCAACAUAGUGAAUGAGACCCUGUCUCUAUUAAAAAAAAAAAAAAUUAGCCAGGCGUGGUGGCACGCACCUGUGGUCCCAACUACUCAGGAGGCUGAGGCAAAAGGAUCGCUUGAGUCAAAGAGGUUAAGACAGCAGUGAGCCAUGUUCACACCACUGCACUUCACCCUCAGCGACUGAGUGAGAUGUGCUCACAUUCCAUAGAUUAUUUUAACUUUCAUCCCUGUUUCCCUAUUUCUAGCAUGCACUUCUAUGAUAGCAUUAACAGUAUUGUAUUGUAAAAUUUGAUGAUCGUAUCUCUCCCCAAGACUGUAAGCCCUUUUAGAGUAGCACCUACCUUAAAAUAGUUGCUCUAUAAAUGGCAAGCAACUAUUUUCUGAAUGAAUGGUCAUUCUCAGAAAUUUGUAGUAUAUGUAGUAUGUUUGUCUUUUGUCUAAAACAAAAUGGAUCCCUCCUCCAAUGAAACUCUUCUAUAUUAGUAUUAGAUUAAGCACUAGGUAAUAUCAAACUAACUUCAGCAUUUUAUAAUAGCCCUGCUGUAAGGAAAGACAAUGCAUAAUUGUCCUAGAGAAUGAGGCCAUUUUCAGCUAGCUGUGGUGGCUCACACCUGUAAUCCCAACACUUUGGGAGGCUGAGGCAGGCAGAUCACUUGGAUUGGGAAUUCAAGACCAGUCUGGUCAACAUGCCAAAAUUCUGUCUCUACUAAAAAUACAAAAAUUAGCCAGGCAUGGUGGUGUAUGCCUAUAAUUCCAGCUACUAGGGAGGGUGAGGCACGAGAAUCACUUGAACCCGGGGUGUGGAGGUUGCAGUUAGCAGAGAUCACACCACAGCACUCCAGCCUGGGUGACAGAGUGAGACUCUGUCUCAAAACAAACAAACAAGCAAACAAACAAACAAAAAGAGAGAGAAUGAGAACAUUUCUUGCUUAACCUUGUCCAAAGGACAUAGGUCAUCCAAAGAGGUUUGAAUUUUAGGGUACUGCACAGAACCCAGAAUAGAAAAGAAGUGUGAAAACUGGCAAGACAUUGCAAUUUUCUACAAGUAUGUAAAGCUCAAACUAAAAAAGAACAUUUUUGAGAAUUUUAAGAAGUAUAUGUGAAGGAUCCUCUGACAUUAGUUUUAGUGAAGGAAGGGGCAGAGAUAGACCAAGAUCACUUUAGCAACCUAUAAUUUGGUUUAAUUGAUCGAGCAGGGAGAAAAAAGAAAGGAGAAAAAGAAUAAGGAGAUCGUGAAAUUGAAAAAUGUAAAAUACUGUAACAGAAAUUACUGUAGCUUUGCUUUGAGUAGUACUGGAAAAGUUUGUUAUACUAGGAAAUAGUCAUAUAAAUGGAAAGAUGGUUUUUCAUGUCUUUUAUGACUUGUUGUAAAUGAUUAAUUAAAUACUCUGAGUGUUUCAUUAAAUAUAUGCAUUCCUUCCAAAUUAAAGUGUGCAGAGACUCGUUAUAAAUAAAUUCAUUGGGUGAAUGAAAGGAGCAUUUACUUCUAAAGGAAUAUUACUGGCAAAUUUCAUUCUUGACAUUGAUUAAAUAAACUAAAUUUAUUUUAAUGGCAAUAUGAGCAAAUUACAAGGCUAAUUAGUUUUCUACUUUAGUAUUUUUACAUUAUUUAAUGCAUUUAUAAGUGAUCCAACAAUUUUAAGAAUUUUACUACAUAAAAAGCAUUUUGUAAUAAAAUGUGAAAAUGAAAGAAUGAAUAAGACAUGGUUCUCGCUUCACUCAUUUUCUACUUUCACGCUUCAUGGAACAAUUUUAAGUGUCUACUAUGAGCAAACCCUUUUCCUGAAUGUUGCAGGCAAUAGAAAGGAAAAAUAAGACUUGUUUCUUCCCUCUAAAAGCUUGAAAUGUCAUGGCAAAAACAUAUGCACAAAAUAACUUUAAUGUAAGACAGACUUUGGUAAGUAAGUGCUAAAAUAAUAGAGGUACAAAGUGCUUGGGGAGUAUAAGAAAUGGAGGGAUUAAGACUGAUGGGGAGAGGAUCAAGAAAGGCUUCUCGGAGGAGGAAGGGUUUGAGCUUGGCCUUGAGAGAUGGCUGGAAAUUUAACAGGAGGCUCUGGGCGGGGGAGGAGAAGAGAAAGGGGUUGUAUGGUCUCUGGGUUGCAGGGUUGUUCUAUAGCGGGGUUUUGGUGUUUCUCUGGACAAUUUUCAACUGUCACAUGGAAGAGAUGUGUCACACAGAAAAUACACAGAGCAACUAGAAACUGGUCUGAAAAUACAGCCACGUGACUUCAGUGAAGAAACAUAUCAGGCCUGAAGUGUGGGCAACAACAGUGACAGGUAUAAUUAGACAUUGAGCAGAUCAGUGUUUUUUGAUUAAUAAGCUUGUUCUUCCUAUACAUUAACUCAUGGGCCUGAAAGGAACUUCAGGAAGUUACUUAGGUCACCCCUGACUAUGUUUUUUUUUUUAAUUAUUAUUAUUCUUCCCUUAGCCUCAGCCCUAUAAUAUGAGCUCUUCAAAUGCUCAGACCCUUGGGCUCUGCAUGAGGACCAAUACAACUAAUAAAAUAUAGUAGUGGCAGCAGUUGAAGCCGCCUUGUGAUACCACUAUUUUGUAGCCAUAUUAAUAAUAUUGUGUGAGAAUUGAGGCAAGGGUUUUGUGAGUCUUUCAGGGCUGCCCUUCUUUUAAUAAGCCCCUGACAAGUUACAGCUUCUGCUUGGGGUAAAAGCUGAUCACAGGACUUAUGCACAAUGGCUUCCACCGCCUUGCCUUAACAAUUUAUCCCUAUCUAGCUACCAAUUAGAAGCCUAAAGUUAUAGAAUGCUAGCGCUGGAGUAGUUAUUAGGAUUAAUCUAACCCAAGCCCUUUGUUUUUCAUUUUACAAUGGAGGAAAGAGAAUCUUAGGGGAAGUGAUAUGCCUAAAGUCACACAGUUAAUGAUUGGCUUACCUGAACUAGAACUAGAAUGUAAAUCUCUAAGUUUCCUAACUUUCAAAUCAGUUUCUCUCUCCUGCAGCACACUGCCUUUUUUAUUUGCAUCAACAGUGUAUGUGUGUAUGUGCAUUAAUAUUUCUAAGAGUUUGGCUUAAAGCAUUCAGUAGGUGCCCAUAGAAUAAUGUAUGUUAAGCCAGAGAAGUAAAAUGCAUUGGAUCAAAACAUUCUCACUUGGAAAAAACAUUAGAAUCCUGGGAAUUUCUUGAAAUGCAAGAAAGCUCAGCCUCCAGGACUUGCAGUGUAAACACUGUGGCUAAUUUGUUGAAGUGAGAUGCCAUUGAUGAUUCUCCCUGCCUUGAGAGAUGACAGGGCUCCUUCGCAGAAAAAGCUGAUUGCUGUAGCAGAUUGCUAGGGGAAGGCACAUUGCAAAAAGUGAUCAGGAAAAGACAAGACAUGUUACCAAGACAGAUCAUUUUUCUUGAAGAGGAGUUAAAAAAAGACACUAAAAAGGAAUUCCUCCCAUAAAGUUUGUCUUUCAGAGAGCAACCAUUUCUACAACUCCGUUCCUGCCUAAAGAAGCAGGCUGUAACCUGGAGCAAAGCUUGGAGAGGCUAGUACAUCAGUUUUACAGAAGCAGUUCUAAGAAUAGUGAAUAUGGAUAAUACAGACAGCAACCCAGACACUUGAUCCAUGCGUUUGCUACGUAAAAGUUGGAUGAGAAUAACUUUCAACAAAUUUACUUUCCAGUGACUUGUUAUUUUUUAAAUUGUAUUCUUAUUAAUAAAAAUGAUACUUUGAUACUGGGUAUGUAACCAAAGGAAAAUAAAUCAUUCUACCAAGAAGACACAUACCCUUGUAUGUUUAUCACUGCACUAUCCACAAUAACAAAGACAUUGGAAUCAACCCAGGUGCCCAUCACCGGUAGAUUGGAUUAAGAAAAUGUGGCACAUAUACACCAUGAAAUGCUACAAAGCCAUACAAAAAGAAUGAAAUCAUGUCCUUUUCAGCAACGUGGAUGCAGUUGGAGACCAUAGUACUAAGUGAAUUCACGAAGGAAUAGAAAGCCAAAUACCACAUGUUCUCACUUACAUUAGGAGCUAAACAUUGAGAACAUAUGGACAUAAAAUGGGAGCGAUAGACACUAGGGACUACUGGGAGGGGGGCAUGGGUUGAAAAACUACCUAUCAGGCACUAUGUUCACUACCUUGGUGAUGGGGGCUGUACUCCAAACCUCAGCAUGGUGCAAUAUUCACAUGUAACAAACCUGCAUGUGUACCCCCUGUAUCUAAAAUAUAAACUGAAAUUAGAAAAAAAACAGAAGCCAACACCAUGAGGUUUUCAGCUCCCCCAUAAUCUCCAUAACCCUCUUUAGUCCUAAAUAAA